CCCUACAACCAUACCACCCUGAACAGGCCAAUCUCAUCUGAUCUCGGAAGCUAAGCAGGGUUGGGCCUGGUUAACACUUGGACGUGAGACUGCUUGGGAAUACCAGGUGCUGUUGUCU
rnacentral:rRNA from 1 species